rnacentral:rRNA from 1 species
UGGGGAAUAUUGGACAAUGGGCGCAAGCCUGAUCCAGCCAUGCCGCGUGAGUGAUGAAGGCCUUAGGGUUGUAAAGCUCUUUUAGCAGGGAAGAUAAUGACUGUACCCUCAGAGAAAGCCCCGGCUAACUACGUGCCAGCAGCCGCGGUAAUACGUAGGGGGCAAGCGUUGUCCGGAUUUACUGGGUGUAAAGGGCGCGCAGGCGGGAUAAAAAGUCAGUGGUGAAAUCCUACAGCUUAACUGUAGAACUGCCUUUGAUACUUUUAUUCUUGAGUUCGGGAGAGAGAGACGGAAUUCCAGGUGUAGUGGUGAAAUACGUAGAUAUCUGGAAGAACACCAGUUGCGAAGGCGGUCUCUUGAUCCGACACUGACGCUGAGGCGCGAAAGCGUGGGGAGCAAACA